rnacentral:rRNA from 1 species
UGGGGAAUAUUGGGCAAUGGGCGAAGGCCUGACCCAGCAACGCCGCGUGAAGGAAGAAGGUCUUCGGAUCGUAAACUUCUAUCCUUGGUGAAGAUAAUGACGGUAGCCGAGAAGGAAGCCCCGGCUAACUACGUGCCAGCAGCCGCGGUAAUACGUAGGGGGCAAGCGUUGUCCGGAAUGAUUGGGCGUAAAGGGCGCGUAGGCGGCCUGGUAAGUCUGGAGUGAAAGUCCUGCUUUUAAGGUGGGAAUUGCUUUGGAUACUGUCGGGCUUGAGUGCAGGAGAGGUAAGUGGAAUUCCCGGUGUAGCGGUGAAAUGCGUAGAGAUCGGGAGGAACACCAGUGGCGAAGGCGACUUACUGGACUGUAACUGACGCUGAGGCGCGAAAGUGUGGGGAGCAAACAG